rnacentral:rRNA from 1 species
UACGUAGGCAGCAAGCGUUGUUCGGAAUUACUGGGCGUAAAGGGCUCGUAGGUGGCCAACUAAGUCAGACGUGAAAUCCCUCGGCUUAACCGGGGAACUGCGUCUGAUACUGGAUGGCUUGAGUGUGGGAGAGGGAUGCGGAAUUCCAGGUGUAGCGGUGAAAUGCGUAGAUAUCUGGAAGAACACCCGUGGCUAAGGCGGCUCUCUAGUACGGUACUGACGCUGAGACGCGAAAGCGUGGGGAGCGAACAGG